AUGAGCCAUUCCAGCCCCUUCCCGGGGCUCUGGCGCACCCACUGCAUGCUGUGGCUGCCCAAGGUGGUCCCCCUGUGGCUCCUCUGCCGCCCCUCCGGCUUCACCUUCGGCGACUACGACAUGAUCUGGGUGCGCCAGAGCCCCGGGAAGGGGCUGGAAUGGGUCGCUGGGAUCAACAAGGAUGGUUCCAGCACCUACUACGCGCCGUCGGUGAAGGGCCGGUUCAGCAUCGCCAGGGACAACGGGCAGAGCUCGGUGACGCUGCAGAUGAACAACCUCAGGGACGAGGAUUCCGCCACCUAUUUCUGUGCCAAAGCAUGUUGUGCUGGUUGGGGGGGUACUGCUGAUGCCAUUGACCCCCUUUGUGGGGUCCUCAAACCUCCCCAAAUCCCAAAGCUCCGCCCCUUCACACCCAGCUCUCGCUCGUCGCUCCCGACCUUGGGCCUGGUUUGGCCCCAAAAUUCCCCACCUUUGGCCCCAAACCCCAACUCUUUGUCCCAAAUCUCAACUACAGACCCCAAAUUUGAACUGUUGACCCAACUCUAA